rnacentral:rRNA from 2 species
UACGGAGGGUGCAAGCGUUAUCCGGAUUUACUGGGUUUAAAGGGUGCGCAGGCGGAUAUGUAAGUCAGUGGUGAAAUCUCCGGGCUUAACCCGGAAACUGCCGUUGAUACUAUAUAUCUUGAAUGCCGUGGAGGUAAGCGGAAUAUGUCAUGUAGCGGUGAAAUGCUUAGAUAUGACAUAGAACACCUAUUGCGAAGGCAGCUUACUACACGGAGAUUGACGCUCAUGCACGAAAGCGUGGGGAUCAAACAGG